rnacentral:tRNA from 16 species
GCCGCUAUAGCUCAGCCGUGGUAGAGCAGCUGACUUGUAAUCAGCAGGUCCCGAGUUCGACUCUUGGUGGCGGCACCA